rnacentral:lncRNA from 1 species
GGGAGUGUGUAUAUGGGUGGCUUAUGUAUGUUUUCGUAUCACAGUUAGGUUUACUUUAUAAACAGAAUUUAGAAGUUUCCUUCUUUUUCUGUGCUUUGGAACAGAAUCAAAAGCAGCCUGCUCAUCCGUUCCUAAAGGUUUCACAACAGAAUUCCCCCAGUGAAAUAAUUUCCGUCUGGUGUUUUUGUGAAUAGUGAUGGGGGGAGUACAGUUCUCUGACAAUGUCUAUUGCUUCUGUGAUCAUUGGUCUGCUUAGAAUUUCUGUCUCUUCUGGGAUGUUUGUGUAAAUCAUAUUUUCUUGAAACAUCAUCCAUUUCAUCCAGGGUUUCAAAUUUAUUUUCAUAGAGUUGAAGAAAGAAAUCUUUUAUAAUUGUUUUCUUUUUUUCUGUAUCUAUGAUUACUUCACCUUAUUUGAUGUUUUGAAUGUGCUUUUGCCCUUUGUUUUCUGGUUGUUAAUUUUAUUCUACUGCUGCUUUUCCAACUCUUAGGUUUGUUAGAAUACUCGGUUCUGUUCUCUAAAUCAUUAAUUCAUUCUUUCAUUCUUACUAAUUCUUUUCUCCUGUUUUUCUUAGGUUUUUAUUUUUUCCUCAUCUUCUGAAUUGGUUAUUUUCUAUUUUCCUUUGAGGACUACUUUAGAGCGCCACACAAGCGCUGAUGUUCUUUCUGUCCUGUCAGCUUGGUUUUGAGUGGAUCGAAAGUAGGAAUUUUAAUGACUUUUUUUUUGGACAGGAAUCCCACACUCAUUUUUAUCCCACAUCACCGCCUCCCCCUCUUUCUCCUCGGAGCUGUUUUAAUGAUGAAGGUCGCCGAGGAGGUUCUUCGCCCUGGCGCGGGAGGCGGCAGGAGAGGCCUCCCGUGGCCUCCGCCUCUUUCUCGCCCCGCAGGCGGCGGGAGGCACCGGCUGCGCAGGGGGCGCGCGGAGGCUGAGCCACGCAGAGCUCCCCGCCGGGUGCGGGACCCGCAGGCGCGGGCUCGGGCGCUGCACGCCCGCGGGCACGCGCACUCCCGGGUGACGGCGCAGACGCCGCGGCCCGCGGCCUCCUGGGUUUGGAUUCCUGCUGGCUCUCACCUGGACGGGGCCGGGGGAGGUGAAGAUGCUCCAGACGCAGAGUUGAGGCCUGAUUCGGGGAUAUCUGGGGCGCUGUGGUACAUUAGAGAGCACGGCGGCGGCUCUGCCGCGUCGGUGCUGCUGGCGGCGGAGAGGAACCCUUCGCGGCGUCUCCCGAGCCUGCUGCGCGCGGAGGUGGGGACAUGGACCAGAAGGAAAGAGAUUUAUCAGGAGGCAAUUGAGAUUAGGGACCAGCUGAGUUUUGAUGGUUACUGACUUACUGAAUUGGCAGUGGGGAUUGAUUUGGAAGGAACGCUGUGGCCAUAAAUGUUGAAGAAGGCAAGAGGAUUCUUUGUGACAUUGAGUCUUUCUCUAACACUACGGUGGAGGAAAUGCCAAUGAAUGUGGUCAACGUUUCUUAAUUCCUGGGAUGAGAUGAUUUCAAAUGCAGUACUCACUGUUGCUCACUAGGCGAUCACAAUGUGCACUGUGCUCCCUUCUUUGGGGAUAUCUGAAGCUUGUCUCAAUGCUCAAAAUGGACCUGAAAUACAGAUUUUGAUUUCAAAGUGACUACAGUCAUGAGCUUUUGUGAAGAAAGUCAUUGACAUUCUUCUUCUGAGAGUUAGAUUGUUGGGGCUGGAUAUAAUAGAUGGGAGAUCUGUAAAAAUCUUUCUUUCUUAGAAAUGUACCCCCUUAUUCUGUAGAAAUGGUUGUAUUGGGUGUUCUUGAUAAUAUACUUGUGAACUAAUAUAUAUAAGUGCUGUAGUCAUUAGUUAGUCAUUAUUCUGAAUAGAAAAGACUUUAAAAUGACUCUUUUUAAAAAAAAUACUUUGAUUCAUUUUGUUUGGUAUUGUGUUCUUAAUUCAGUAAAGGAUCUUCUUCAGUGCUAAGUGUGAACUGGAUCCUUUUGCUAAGCACCAGCCAACAAUCUAUACUAAGGUUAAAUCCCAGAAAUAUUGCCAUACUGUAUAUUACAUGUUCAAUAAAUUAUAAUAAAGGGUCUUUUACAGUGGUUUGGCCUUUAUUCC